GUUGGGAUGGAGCCAGGGCACUUGAAAGUGAGUUAAUCCUUUCCCCAUCAAAAUCCCCAGCAACAAUCUGGGUUUGUUUAGCCAUUUGGUACUGGCAUUUCAGGGCUUUUUUAUAAACACUGAGGGAAUCGCUCACUUUGGCAGUGGCCAGCACGGCUGUCACACCCGGGCGCCGAGUCCCUCUUGUUCGUGAGGGACGGCCACAUCGUACCUUUCAGGUGAGAAGAUGGUCUUAACUCUGCUCGGUCUGCCGGAGCCUCGGGGUCAAUGCCUUCUUGGAGGAAUUCAGAAAGCGUGGUGGAUGUUCAGAGUGAGGAGGACCCUUCUCUCCGGCUUGGCAGAGGCCCAACACCUUCCUAGUGUGAGCCCACACAGCUGUCUUCUCCCCAUGGCCUGCUCAUCUCUGCUCCUGGGAAGCCCAGCUGGGCAGCAGUGGGUUAAGACAGCACCAUCAAAUAUGUGCUCCACUAAAAAUGUAAAAGGUUCCAAGAAUGCAGCUUAAUAAAUCUCAGCAGAUGGAUGAAUGGGGGGCUCACAAGUCUCAGGCUGAAAUGCGGAAUGAACACAUCUGCCAUAUCAUCUGAGUCCAAAGUUGAAAGGGGCUCUUCACCAAAACCUAGACAAAUAUUUGAAAGCCUGUCUUGGAAAGGAAGAUAAUGUCCAAUUGGUCUCUUUUAUAAUGCAUUUGUGUACAGGCGGGGGUGGGGGGGAAUGGGAUUUAAAAAUAAAGCCGUCUACGUCAGAGACUUGGAUU
rnacentral:lncRNA from 1 species